GUUAUUAGCAAAUGUUUACCCAAAGUGAGUUUGAAACCUAUAAAAGGGAACAUUUGAAAUAUUUCCAAGAUUUGCAUUCAUUUGGCCAGAGUAAUCAUUAUACCUGACUUAUAUGUCCAAUCCAGAAUAAUCAAGCAGCUUCAGUUUUGAGUAUCAAGUGCUUGCACUAAACUUGAAAACCUGUUUCCAAACCAAGGUUCAAUCAGACUACAGAAAUCUUUCAAAUAGAUGCACUAAAAUGAAUCAAAAGUUGUUCACGUAUGUGAAGAGGGAAAGGGAAGAAAAUCAUUAAUUAUAUUAUUCAACAGCUUUGUUAUUAACAGUACAGUCCCUCUUUCAGCAGCAUUAAAGAUCAGUUUCCUCUGCCCUUUCAGCAGCCGGCUCUGUCUCUCCACGUACUGCAGGGGCUCGUAGUGCAGGAGUUUCUCUCAGCUGGAAGAGCGUGGUAUAAUCCUCACAUCCUUUCUACUAAUAUGGCUAUUCCUAUGCCAUGUCAACUUUUUUAUUCUCCACAAUGAAGACCCAGGUUUGUGUCAGGAUGAGCAGAGGGCUUCAAAGCUCCAGGACUCAAUUAGACACAAGUCUGAAUGAGACAAGAGCCUUAUUGAACCUGCCUCAGCUAGGAGCCUGUCCCCUCCAAGCCCGCUGGGUACAACUGACAGAAAACUGUUUGUGUCUGAGGAACUGA
rnacentral:lncRNA from 1 species